rnacentral:rRNA from 1 species
UAGCAUCGAAUUGAAAACGCAGCAAAAUGGGAAACUGACUGUGAUUGCAGAUCCGCGACCAUCGAGUUUUUGAACGCAAGUUGCGCCCGAGGCCUUCUGGUCGAGGGCACGUCUGCCUGGGCGUCAGCCAAAAGACACUCCCAACCCACCCUCGGGGAGGGACGUCGGUGUUCGGCCCCCCGUGCCGCAGGGCGCGGUGGGCCGAAGUUGGGGCUGCCGGCGAAUCGUGUCGGGCACAGCACGUGGUGGGCGACAUCAGUUGUUCUCGGUGCAGCGCCCCGGCGCGCGGCCGGCGCAUCGGCCCUAAGGACCCAUCGAGCACCGCAGCGCACCGCCGCUCGGACCGCGACCCCAGGUCAGUCGGGACUACCCGCUGAGUUUAAGCAUAUCAAAAAUUCGGGGAGGAAA